rnacentral:rRNA from 1 species
UACGAAGGGGGCUAGCGUUGCUCGGAAUCACUGGGCGUAAAGGGUGCGUAGGCGGGUCUUUUAGUCAGACGUGAAAUCCCCAGGCUCAACCUGGGAACUGCGUCUGAUACUGGUUGGCUUGAAUUCGGGAGAGGGAUGCAGAAUUCCAGGUGUAGCGGUGAAAUUCGUAGAUAUCGGGAGGAACACCGGUGGCGAAGGCGGCGACCUGGGUAGAUACUGACGCUGAGGCGCGAAAGCGUGGGGAGCAAACAGG